rnacentral:rRNA from 1 species
AUUAGAGCGGCCGAUAUCUGAUUAGCUUGUUGGGUAGGGGUAAAACGCCCAACCGAAGGCGACGAUCAGUAGCUGGUCUGAGAGGACGAUCAGCCACACGUGGGACUGAGACACCGGCCCAGACCUCCGUAACGGGGAGGCAGCAGGUAGGGGUAAGUUUUGGAACAAGUGGGGGCAACCCUGAUCCAGCAAUGCCGCGUGAGUGAAGAAGGCCUUCGGGUUGUAAAGCUCUUUUGUCAGGGAAGAAACAGCAGCUCUAACACAGUCUGCGAAUGACGGUACCUGAAGAAUAAGCACCGGCUAACUACGUG